rnacentral:rRNA from 1 species
CCUACGGGAGGCAGCAGUGGGGAAUAUUGGACAAUGGGGGGAACCCUGAUCCAGCGACGCCGCGUGCGUGAAGAAGUAUUUCGGGAUGUAAAGCGCUAUCAGCAGGGAAGAAAAUGACGGUACCUGACUAAGAAGCCCCGGCUAACUACGUGCCAGCAGCCGCGGUAAUACGUAGGGGGCAAGCGUUAUCCGGAUUUACUGGGUGUAAAGGGAUCGGUGACGGAGCAGCAAGUCUGAUGUGAAAGGGCGGGGCCCAACCCCGGGACUGUAUUGGAAACUGUUGAACUGGAGUACAGGAGAGGUAAGCGGAAUUUCUAGUGUAGGGGUGAAAUGCGUAGAUAUUAGGAGGAACACCAGUGGCGAAGGCGGCUUACUGGACUGUAACUGACGUUGAGGCACGAAAGCGUGGGGAGCAAACAGGAUUAGAUACCCGUGUAGUC